rnacentral:rRNA from 1 species
UACGGAGGGAGCUAGCGUUAUUCGGAAUUACUGGGCGUAAAGCGCACGUAGGCGGCUUUGUAAGUUAGAGGUGAAAGCCUGGAGCUCAACUCCAGAAUUGCCUUUAAGACUGCAUCGCUUGAAUCCAGGAGAGGUGAGUGGAAUUCCGAGUGUAGAGGUGAAAUUCGUAGAUAUUCGGAAGAAGCACCAGUGGCGAAGGACGGGCUGCA